UAUGCCCUAGGGCUAGUGGAAGACUUAAGAUGGCGGCGUUUGCACGGAGUGCAAUCACUGCGUCCUUACGGGGGUUGCAAGGCGUCCGAAGUAUGAGUCCACUAACAAAAGUCCAGAAACUCGCCAGUUAAUAGUAUUGUGUCUCUUCAAAAUAUCGGAGAAUAAUUUCUUUCUCGCUGAUCGCCUAACUUCUACUGACGAAGCUUGGAAGUUGCAGAAGGUUGGAGUGCAAUGGCGCGAUCUCGGCUGACUGCAACCUCCACCUCCUGGAUUCAAGCUAUUCUCCUGCCUCAGCCUGCCGAGUAGCUGGGAUUACAGGCAUGUGCCACCGCACCCAGCUAAUUUUGUAUUUUUUAGUAGAGAUGGGGUUUCUCCAUGUUGGUCAGGCUGGUCUUGAACUCCUGACCUCAGGUGAUCCGCCCACCUCAGCCUCCCAAAGUGCUGGGAUUACAGGCGUGAGCCACCGCGCCCGGCCAGAACAUUAGUUUUAAACUUCCUAACCCUUGGGAGAAGGCAAAACACUUGAUGAAAUCUACAUAAAGACUAAAACAUUUUACCAAUUUUGCAUUGUUUGUUUGAAAUUGCAUUGACGACUGAUGGAGUUCGCUCUUGUUGCCCAGGCUGGAAUGCAAUGGCAUGACCUUGGCUCACUGCAACCUCUGCCUCCCCAGUUCAAGUGGUUCUCCUGCCUCAGCCUCCCGAGUAGCUGAGAUUACAGGUACUGGCUCCUGUAUCACCCAGCUCUGGAGUUGAAAGAGCUCUUCAUUCCUGAGUCUCCUGUACCACUGAGAAUAGGCUGGAGUGCAGUGGCGCAAUCUCGGCUCUCUGCAACCUUCACCUCCCGUGUUCAAGUGAUUCUCCUGCCUCAGCCUCCUGAAUACCUGAGAUUACAAGCAUGCACCACCACGCCCGUCUAAUUUUGUAUUUUCACUAGAGACGGGGUUUCUCCAUGUUGGUCAGGCUGGUCUCGAACUCCCGACCUCAGGUGAUCCGCCCGCCUCAGCCUCCCAAAGUGCUGGGAUUACAGGCAUGAGCCACCGCGUCCAGCAAGAAUAGGUGAUUUUCAAACUUGGAAACAUUCAGAAGUUAUCGCCUCAGUUUCAGAUUGAGUAGUCUCAAAGAGAUUACAGACAUCUACCACAAAUUCUCUACUUGGUGUGGUGCAAAAUCAGUAUGAUGUAAACUUUGUCUCUCAGUUUCUUCAAAGGAAAGAAGCAACUGGAACACACAUAUAACACUAACCCUUCCAGCUGCAUUAUGAGGGACCAGUACCUGUCUCAAGGCAAAAUUAUGACUUAGUUCAUCCUCACCUCUGGAGGCCAGUAAAAGUGGGUUAUAGAAGAACAAAGAGGCAUCUAGAUCUUUCACUGGGUUAUUUGGAGAGAAACAUCUCCUACCGAAGGCCAGUUUAACAAGACUGGUAGAGGAGGUUAUCUUAUCUAAUUCACAGAAAUCAACACAUUGAGUCAAGAAAAAUGAAACACAGAAACACUCUAAAUAAAAGAAGAUAAGUCUUCAGAAACCAACCCUAAUGAAAUGAAGAUAUGUGAUUAACCUGACAGGAAAUUAAAAAGAGCAACCAUAAAGAGUCUCAUGGGAGCAAUGCAUGAACAAACUGAGAAUUUUCAUAAAGAAAUAAAAGAUAACAAAAAGUAUAAAGUUGAAGAAUACAAUAACUGGACUCAAAAAUUUAAUGUGUCCAACAGAAGAAUCGAUGAAGCAGAAGAAAGGGCUAUCAAACUUGUAGAUAGGCCAUUGGAAAUCAUGUAAUGUGAGGAGAAAAAAGAAAAAAGAUUGAAGAUAGUUUAAGAGACUUUUGAGACAUCCUCAAAGGGGAAUAAUUUAUACAUUACCAGAUGGAGAAGAUAGAGGGAAAAGGACAGAAAACAUAUUUGAAGAAAUAAUGUCAGAAAACCUCAUAAUUCUGGCAAGGAAAUAGAAAUUUAGAUCUAAGAAUCUCGAACAUCAGGUAUGAUGAAUCCAAGGAGACUCACACCAAACCAUAUUGUAAUUAAAUAAAGGUUAAAGACAAUCUUCAGAGCAGCAAGGGAAUAGUCUCUUCUUACAUACAAAAUGAUCCACGGAAGACUGUCAGCAGACUUCACCAGAAAACUUUCACGCCAGAAGGCAGUCGUGAUAUAUACAAAAAGCUGAAAGGAAAACACUGCCAUCCAGGAAUACUAUCUCCAACUAUCCUGUGUUUCAAAAAUUAAGGAGAAAUAUAAAGUUCUCAAACAAAAGAUGUGGGAGUUUACCACCACUAGACCUGCACGGGAAGAAUUGCUAAAGGGAGUCCUUCAAGCUGUAGUAAAAGAGUGCUAAUUAGAAACAUGAAAACAAAUACAAAAAAAAUUCUAAAACUUGUAUGGAACUACAAAAGACAUUAAAUAAUCAAAGUAAUCUUGAGCAACAAGGACACAGCUGGAGGCAUCACUCUACCUGAUUUUGUAAUCCAUUAUCAAAAAACUGUGGUACCAGCAUAAAAACAGAUUCACUGACCAGUGGAACAGGAAAGCCCAGACAUAACUCAUACAUUUCCAUCCAAUUGAUUUUUGACAAAAGUGGCACACAGAAUGGGGAGAGGACAAAUAAAUAAAUAAAUUGUUUUGAGAUAUCUGUAUAUCUAUAUGUGAAAUUGAACCAUUUUCUCAUAGCAUAUAGAAAAAUCAACUCAAAAUGGAUUAAAGCCUGAAAUGUUGCCUUUGAAACUGUAAAACUACUAGUAGAAAAUAUAGGGGAAAAGCUCUAUGAUGUUGUUCUGGGCAAUGAUUUCUUGGAUACAUCCUUAAAAGCAUGGGCAGCAAAAACAGCCAGACAACUAUCAGGGAACCUGCCCAGAUAGUCACAUAGGUUCUUUUCUAUUUUCCCUAAGCAUUGGCCGGGUUGAGAAAUAAAGGGACAGAGUACAAAAGAGAGAAAUUUUAAAGCUGGGCAUCCUGGGGAGACAUCACAUGUCGGUAGGUUCCGUGAUGCCCCCUGAGCCGUAAAACCAGUAAGUUUUUAUUAGGGAUUUUCAAAGGGGAGGGAGUAUACGAAUAGGAGGUGGGUCACAGAGAUCACGUGCUUCACAAGGUAAUAGAAUAUCACAAGGCAAAUGGAGGCAGGGCGAGAUCACAGGACCACAGGACUGGGUUGAAAUUAAAAUUGCUAAUGAAGUUUCGGGCACCAUCGUCAUUGAUAACAUCUUAUCAGGAGACAGGGUUUGAGAGCAACCUGUCUGACCAAAAUUUAUUAGGUGGGAAUUUCCUCGUCCUAAUAAGCCUGGGAGCGCUAUGGGAGACUGGGGCUUAUUUCAUCCCUACAGUCUCGACCAUAGAAGACAGCUACACCCAAGGGGGCCAUUUUAGAGGCCCACCCUCAGGGGCACAUUCUCUUUCUCAGGGAUGUUCCUUGCUGAGAAAAAGAAUUCGGCGAUAUUUCUCCCAUUUGCUUUUGAAAGAAGAGAAAUAUGGCUCUGUUCCGCCUGGCUCACCGGCGGUCAGAGUUUAAGGUUAUCUCUCUUAUUCCCUGAACAUUGCUGUUAUCCUGUUCUUUUUUCAAGGUGCCUAGAUUUCAUAUUGUUUAAACACACAUGCUCUACAAUUUCUGCACUUAACACAAUUAUCACAGGGUCCUGAGGCGACAUACGUCCUCCUCGGCUUACGAGAUGACAGGAUUAAGAGAUUAAAACAGGCAUAGGAAAUCACAAGGGUAUUGAUUGGGGAAGUGAUAAGUGUCCAUGAAAUCUUCACAAUUUAUGUUUAGAGAUUGCAGUAAAGACAGGCAUAAGAAAUUAUAAAAGUAUUAAUUUGGGGAACUAAUAAAUGUCCAUGAAAUCUUCACGAUCCACGUUCUUCCGCCAUGGCUUCAGCCAGUCCCUCCGUUUGGGGUCCCUGACUUCCCGCAACAGACAACUUGAGUUGCAUCAAACUAAAAAGCAUCUGCACUGCAAAGGGUACAGUUAACAGAAUGAAGACACGGGUUUUGAGAAACCAUUUUCAAAUCAUAUAUCUGAUAAGGGGCUAAUAUCCAAAAUGUAUUAAGAAACCCAAGCCCAAUAGCAAGAAAACAACUGUCUUUAAAAGGGGGAAAAGGACCUCAACUUAAAUUUUUCAGAGGAAGACAUGAGUGGCCAAUUGAUUGAUACAUGAAAAAAAUGCUCAACAUCUCUAAUCAUUAGUGAGUUGCAAAUCAAAACUGCAAGAUAUUACCUUACACCUUUUAGAAUGGCUAUUAUUAAAAGGAUGAAAGACAGGUGCUGGCAAGGAUGUGGAUAAAAGGAAGUCCCAACAUUCUGUUAGUGGGAAUAUAAAUUAGUAUAGCCAAUUUAGGAAACUAUAUGGUGGUUCCUUAAGAAACUAAAAGUACAAUUACUAUAUGAUCUAGCAAUCUCUACUUAGGUAUAUAUCCAAAGGAAUUGAAGCAGUAUGUUGAGAUCUUGCACUCCCUUAUUUUGAAAUUAUUUACAAAGCUAAUAAAUGGAAAAGACUUAAGUUUUCAUAACAGAUGAAUGGACAUAGAAGAUGUGUUGUAUAUACAUAUUGGAAUAUUUUUUAUCCUUGGAAAAGAAGGAAAAUUGUCAUUUGUGACAACAUGGAUGAAUCUGUAGUAUACUAUGCUAAGUGUUGUAAGACAGGCACAGAGAGGCAAAUACUACAUUAUAUUUGUAUGUGGAAUCUAAGAAAGGCUAACUCAUACAAGUAGAAAGUUGGAUGUUAUGGUUUCCAGGAUGUGGGUGUUGGAGAGAUGGGCAAAGGCAAGACGUUGGUCAAAGAGUACCAAUUUUCUGUUAGGAGGAAUAAGUUUUAGACAUAUUUCACAGCAUGGUGACCAUUGUCACUGACUGUAUAUUUUAAAAUUGUUAUAAGUAGAUAUUAAAGUUGUCACAACAAAAGUAGGUGAAGUUAUGGAUAUGUUAAUGUGCUUGAUUUAGUUAUUACACUAUGUAUACAUACAAAAACAUCAGAUAGUUCCCUGGAAUUAUAUACAAUUAUUACUUGUCAAUUAUAAAAAAAAGCCCUACUGCAACCACUAAAAAGGAUUUUCAUAUAAUAGAGGGAAAAAUCGUUAAAGAUAAUAAUACAUUAUUUUAGAAAAUAUUAACUUAUAAAAAGUAGUAUAGGAGGGAUUCUGUAAAAGAAGAUAGACAUAGAAUUUUAAAAUGUAUAAUGGAAAAUUUAAAUCCAGCUGUACUGAUGGAUCAAGCAAUCCAAACCAGUCUGAUUGACCAAGUGGAUAUUUAAAAAACAAUCAAACUAUAAGGUGUCUGUUGUAGGCAGUUUAUAAAAUACAAAAGUGUUGAAAGAAAUAGGAUGGAAAUAGAAAUAUCCAAGUAGCAACCACAAAAAAACUGGAAUGUCUGCACUAACAUCAUACAAAACAAACCAAAUGAAGGUUAAAAAUAUUGAAAUUAUACAAAAUAUGUUCUAUGACUAAAAUUUAAUGAAAUUAGAAAUAACACAGAGAUAGGAACUAUACAUAUUUGUGCAAAUUUAAAAAGUUAUGCUGAGUGUGGUGGCUCACACCUGUAAUCCCAGCACUUUGGGAGGCCGGGGAGGGUGGAUCACUUGAAGUCAGGAGUUGGAGACCAGCCUGGCCAACAUGGUGAAACCCUGUCUCUACUAAAAAUACAGAAAAUUAGCCAGAUGUGGUGGUGUGCGCCUGUAGUCCCAGCUACUCGGGUGGCUGAGGCACUAGAAUCACUUGAGCCUAGGAGGCAGAGGUGGCAGUGAGCCGAGAUCACACCACUGCACUGCAGCCUGGGCGACAAAGACUGUCAAAAAAAAAAAAAAAAAAAAAAAGUUACGUAACCAACAAGUCAAAGGAGAAUUUAUAAGGAAAUCAGAAAAUACUUUGAGGUGAAUGAAAAUACAGAAACAACAUAUCAAAUUCUGUGAGAUGUGUGAAAGCAACGCUUACAGUGAAAUUAAUAGCUAUGAACAUUGUAAUGAAAUGAGAAGUACUUCAAAUUACUAACCUAACUUUCCAACUUUAGAAAAUACAGUAAAAAAAGAACAAAUUAAAAUCAAAGCAGAAAGGAUAUAAAGUUUAGUGUGGAAAUAGAGAAUUAAAAAUAAUUGAGAAACACAGCACUUCGUUGACUUAUUCAUAAAAUAAAGCUUUAUUAAAAUGAGAAAUGUAAAACGUGAUGUUCCUAAUGACCUUAUUCCAUACAAGGGAUUAGUAUUUUGACAAAUAUCUUUGUGGAAGUAGACAAAUUCCUAGAAAGACACUGACUACCACAACUCAUUCAAGAACAAAGUGAAGACAAUAAAUUGGUAAUUUAAAAACUCUCACCCCUGCCCCUGACACACAUGUAAAUUCCCAGUUCAAAUGUAUUCUUUUGUAUAUUAUACCAAACACAUGAAAAUUACCAAUUCGAUAAAAAUGUCUUAAAAACUUGGAAGAGCAUGUAAUAUUUUUUACUGGUUCUAUGAUGCUAUUGUUAUCUAGAUACCAAAGUGAAACAUCAUACACAGGGAAAACUCUGAUAAUAUCGCUUAUGAGUGGAUCUGUGAAAUUUCCUAGUAAAUUUUGGCAAACCAAAUACAGUAACAUAUAAACAGGAAUGUACACCAGUACCCAGUACAGUGUAUCCCUGGAAUGCAACGUUAUUUCAUCAGCUGGAAAUGAUUAGUGCAACAGACUGAAGGAAGAAAACAACAUGGUCAUCUCAAUAGAUUGUGGACGGCUGGAAGUGGAGGCUCACGCCUGUAAUCCUAAUACUCCUACCAACAGUGUAUAAGCAUUCCUUUUUCUCUGUAACUUCACCAGAAUCUGUUUUUUUGUUUGUUUGUUUGUUUGUUUUUGACUUUGUAAUAGCCAUGGGCUGGGCUCAGUGACUCACGCCUGUAAUCCUAGCACUGGGGGAGGCUGAGGUGGGCGGAUCACUUGAGGUCAGGAGUUCGAGACCAGCCUGGCCAACAUGGUGAAACCCCAUCUCUACUAAAAAUACUAAAAUUACCUGUGCAUGGUGGCAAGUGCCUGUAAUCCCAGCUACUCGGGAGUCUGAGGCAGUAGAAUCACUUGAACCCAGGAGGUGGAGGUUGCAGUGAGCGGAGAUUGUGCCACUGCACUUGGACCUGGCUGACACAGCAAGACUAUGUUUAAAAAAAAAGAGAGAGAAAAAAAAAAUAGAAGGUGGAAAAAGUAUUUGGUAAACUAAGAAGUAAACCACAACCUAGUAAAGGGCAUAUUUUAAGAAUUCACAACUAGAACCUGGUGCCGUGGCUGUAAUCCCAGCACUUGGGGAAGCCAAAGCAGGAUUACUUGAGGCCAGAAGUCUGAGAUCAGCCUAGGCAAUAUAAGGAUACUCUGUAUCUUAAAAAAAAAAAAAAAAUCCAGAUGUGAUGACACAUGCCUGUACGCCUAGCUACUUGGGAAGCUGAGGUUCAUGUUUACAAUGAGCUAUGAUGAUGCCACUGUACUCCUGACUGAACAACAGAGUGAGACCCUGUCUCUAAAAAGCAAAACAAAACAGAAAACCCAAAACCCUCAAAACUAAUGUUACACUUAGUAUUUAAAGAAUGCUUUCUCUGUAAGAAGAGGAGCAAGGACAGGAUAAAACAUUCUUGCCAGUUCUGUUCAACAGUGUACUGGAAGUAUCUGUGACAUUAAUUGCAUUGCAUAUGGAAGGAAAUAAAAUUUUUUAAAUAGGAAGCAGCAAAACCUUUUGCAGAUGACAUGGUUUUGUACAUACACAACCCCAGUGGAUCCAAUAAAUUUGGAUUCCAAUAACAAGAUCAUCUCAGCAAGUUUUUGUGAUUUAAGAUUACAAUCCAAAAAUCAGUUGUAUUUCUAUAUAUUAUUAAAGAAGUCAAAAGUGACAUCAUUGAAACAUUUUUAUUUACAAUAUUAUUAAGGCAAAAUACUGUGGGAUAAAGUGAAAUUCAGCAUGAACUGUGAAUAACACAAAAUAUUUGUCAGAGGAGUUGAGGAAUAUCUACAUAUGUGGAAAGACAUCUCAUAUUUGUGGACUAGAAGAUUUAAGCAUCGCUAGGUGCGGUGGCUCACGCCUGUAAUCCCAGCACUUUGGUAGGCUGAGGUGGGCGGAUCACAAGGUCGGGAGUUCGAGACCAGCCUGGCCAAUAUGGUGAAACCCCGUCUCUACUAAAAAUACAAAAAAAUUAGGCGGGUGUGGUGGCGCAUGCCUGUAAUCCCAAUCCCUCUAGGCUGAGGCAGGAGAAUCUCUUGAUCCCGGGAGGCGGAGGUUGCAGUGAGCCAAGAUCGGGCCACUGCACUCCAGCCUGGGCAACAGAGCUAGGCUCCCUCUCAAAAAAAAAAAAAAAAAAGCAUCAAAAGGAUAGUUCAUUAAUGGAAAUAAUAAAUUGAAAAAGGGAAGGACAUCAAAGUUUAAUGCUUUUACUUUUUCAUAAUAACCAUAAAUAGUAUGAAAAUACAAACUAUAUUCAUGGAAAAUGUUUUGUUUUUAUUUUUUUUGAGACAGAAUUUUGCUCUUGUUUCCCAGGCUGGAGUGCAAUGGCACGAUCUCAGCUCACCACAACCUCUGCCUCCCGGGUUCAAGUGAUUCUCCUGCCUCAACCUCCCAAAUAGAUGGGAUUACAGGCAUGUGCCAGUACGCCCGCCUAAUUUUUUUGUUAUUUCUAGUAGAGAUGAGGUUUCUCCAUGUUGGUCAGGCUGGUCUCGAAUUCCCGACCUCAGGUAAUCUGCUCGCCUCUGCCUCCCAAAGUACUGGGAUUAUAGGUGUGAGCCACCAUGCCCGGCCCUUUGUUUUCAAAUCUCAUAUCCAACAUUGGACUUAUGGCUAGAAUAUUUACAUAAUUCUCAAAAGAUAGUAUUAAAAAUCCAAAGCUUUAAAUUAGAAAAUGGGCAAAAGUCAUGAAAGAACAUUCCCCUGAGGAUAGGGAAAUGUCAAUAAGGACAUGAUGGAAAUUAAUACUAUGAUGAGAUAUUACAGAAGAUUUAUUUUUCUUUGAGGCGGAGUCUGCCUCUGUCACCGAGGCUGGAGUGCAGUGGCAUGAUCUCAGCUCACUGCAACCUCCACCUCCCGGGUUCCAGCGAUUCUCCUGCCUCAGCCUCCCAAGUAGCUGGGAUUACAGGCGCCUGCCACCACGCCCAGCUAAUUUUUUUUUUUUUUUUUUUUUUUGUAUUUUUAGUAGAGACGGGGUUUCUCCAUGUUGGCCAAGCUGGUCUCAAACUCCUGACCUCAGGUGACCCACCUGCCUCAGCCUCCCAAAGUGCUGGAAUUAAGAGGUGUGAGCCACCACACCUGGCCUACAGCAGAUUUAUUUCAGUAGCUGAAAUAGUUAAAACAUAAUGAUUCCAAAGGCUGAGAAGCAUGCAGAAAAAAUUGAAUCUUUAUUGCUGAUGGGAAUAUAAAACUGUAUACCACAUUGGAAAAUAAUUUGGCAAUUUCUUUUAAAGCUAAACACACACAUACAGUUAGUUAGGCUUAGCAAUUGCUGUCAUGGCCUAUUUCAUAGAAAUGAAAAUUUAUGUGUAGACCAAACCUGCACUUGACUGUUCACAGAAAUUUUAUUUGUAAUAGUCAGAACCUGGAAACAACUCACAUGUUAUUCACCAGGUAAACAGUUAAAUAAGUCUGUUAUUUCCGUAUUGUGUAAUACAACUCAAAAAUUAAAAGGAAUAAACUACUACUAUACAAAUAAGCCUUAGAUGAUUCUCAAUUCUGAAGGAAAAACCCAUUUCAAGUUGUAACAUAAUGCUUAUUUUUAUGUAUCUUAAUGUGAUGAAGUUAAAUAGUUUAGAGAACAUUGUUCGUAUUCAUCUGUUAGGGAUGGUAGAAGUUAGGGUUGUAUGUGAUUAUAAGACUAGUGGAAGGGAUACGUUUUUAAUGAUGGAUGAGUUCUGCAUUCUGAUUCAUGCAGUGGUUACAAAAAUGUAUACAUGUGAUAAAAUGUCAUGUAAAUGUGCACAUUUCACCAAUGACAAUGUGCUGGUUGUGAUAUUGUACAAUGUUAAUGGAAAAUAUCACCACUGGGGAAAAUUGAGUGGUAUGUGUAAACGGUACUAUAUUUGCAGCAUUUUGUGAGUCUUUAUUUUAACAUAAUAUGUAAAUAUGUAAAGCAACUAGAAGAAUGGUUUUAAUACAGGAGAGUAACAGCUUAUAAGCAAGAGAAAGAAAAAUGAUAAAUAAUGUGAACACUUACCAAAGGAAGGGUGGAACAGAGAAAUAAAGGACAGGGAAAAUUAUCUGGGAUGAUUCCUAAAUUCCAAUAUUUGGAUGGAACUAUACAGAAUUUUAAUAUAUCUGGAAAAUAAACUGAAAAUAUUAACGGAUCCACAGAUAUUGAAGACUUAACCUUUUUUAUCUCAUUAUUCAUUAAAACAAGUGAAAUGUUAUAGGGAAUUCUUCAAAUUGAAAGAAGCAGCUCAUGCAUAACACAAAAACAUGAAUGUAUAAAACUGACUGGUAAAAGGUAAGUAACUCAAAUUCACAGUACUGGUAUACUGUAAUGGUGGUGUACAAAUAACGUAUAUCUUUAUUGUUAAGGUUAAUACACAAAACUUUUUUAAUGAGAUGGCUGUUGCUAUGUUGCUCAGGCUGGUCUGAAACUUCUGGGCUCAAGCAAUUUUCCCCCCUCAGCCUUCUGAUUAGACGGUAUUAUGGGCACCUGCCAUGAUGUCCAUCUACAAAACUAUUAAUAAUUACAACAAUUUGUUUAGCCAUAUGUGAUAUAAAUAUAUGUAAGGUGUGACAUCAAGAACAUAAUGGGUCACCAAAAUCUCAGAGUAAAAACACUCUGGUUUUACUCACCCCCAUAGAACCUCAGUAAUAUAUCCAGCACCAAUAUUAUCACAAGUUAUAUCCCAGAACUGAAAUCCGAGGCUGAGACAUUUCCUCAGACUACAGAGAAGUGAAAAACUUGGAGCAGAUGAUAAAAGGCUUCUUCUGUAUUUAUGAGACUCCUAUGUGCCUGCCAUCAUGUGUGGAAAAUUUUAUCGACAUUCACCAGUUCAACAUGGGAUAAAUGUGAGAUUUUGGCACACAGCUUCUUCACCAUCUUGGCUUCUCUUGUUGAAAAGCUGUUAAUAGCUUAAAACAUGGGAAGUAUUGUGUGUGCUUGUAGAAAGAAAAUCCCAUGAUGGCAGUGAAAGACAAUUGGGCCAGUUGAGAUUCACAACUCCAGCCUGAAAAUUUUCUUUACGUCAGACAACAUAGAUGCCAAGUCAGAGUGGCUGUUCAGCAGCACUAUAAUGUAGUAGGCAGAGUUCAUAGUUCUUUGCACAAAUGCCUAUCCAACCUUCCUGCACAGCCAGAGGAUUGACUUUGGGACCCCUAUAUGGGAUGGGCAAUGCUCCAAAUGUUUGUGAGAGCUGAGUCAAAUCUAAAACAGGCAGCACUCACGGAUUAAGUAGUCUUGACAGGGAACUACAAAUAAUAAUAUCUAAGAAAAUAUACUCUAGGAAGACCAAAAAAAGCUAGACAGCUGAGACUGGAAUAAAUAUAUAAUUAAUUGUUCAAUGUGAAACUGUAGGCAUACGUCUACAAGAAACAGCAGCAAGCCAAUAACCAUGACUACCCUGAACAGAGAAAGCAUGGAGCCAGUUGCCAUCCCUAAUGAGAUGGUAAUGUUUGAACUCUAGAAUCAAGAAUUCAUAAAUGCAAUUUUAAGGAAAUGUAGCAAAACCCAAGAUAAUGCAGAAAAGGAAUCCAAGAAUGUAUUAGAAACUUGAAGAGAUUGAAAUAAUACACCAAACAAAUAUUGCAAAUGAGAAAUAAUUGUUUCAACUGAAAUAAUUAUUAGAGGAUGUCAUUAGCAGAAUGGAUCAAGCAUAAAAAAACAGUGAUCUUAAAGAUAGGGUAUUGGAGAAUCUGUAGAGAUUAAAGAAAUAGAAAAGGCCUAGAGAAUAGCUACAGGAUAUAGAGAAUAACGUCCAAACAGCAAAUUAAAUAAUCAUUGGUGUUCAAGUGGUAGUUUUGGAAUAGCAAGGGCAGUAAAGCUUAUUCAAUGAAAUAACAAUACAUUCCAAAUGUAGAGGAAAGUACUUUUCAGGUACAACAACGUUAAAGACCAAAUAGAUUCAGUUUAAUUAAGAAUACCCCAAGGUGUGUGUGUGUGUAUAUAUAUAUAUAUAUAUAUAUAUAUAAUCAUCUCAAAAACAUACUACAAAGAGAAAGGACACUGAAAACAGCAAGAGAAAAGCAAAUAACAUUAUAUACUUCCAAUUUGUUUGUUAACAGACUUCUGAUCAGAAAUUGUACAUACCAGGAGGGAGUGAAGUGACAUAAAGUGCUAAAGGAAAAAAGUUAACCAACAAUACUGUACCCACAAAAGAUUUCCUUGAAAGAUUGAGAGAUAACAUCGUUUACAAAAAGAAAAGGAAACAUGGUGAGAAUUCAUCACUAGACUCGUCAUUCAAGAAAUGCUAAGUUCUUUAUCCUGAAGAAAAUUAUGCUAACGUCCAAAGAGAAAAAGUUUGACAUUACAAAACUCAGUGGCCAAUGCAAAUACAUAGGCAAAUGCAGAAUAAAUUAAUACGCUUGUUUUGUGUAAGCCUCUUAUAUCCAUAAUACGAGGAGUAAGAUGCAAGUCUAUGAAAAGUAACUAUAGCAGCAUCAUAAAAUAUAGCCAAUUUAAAAAUAGACAUGAGAAAGUCAAAAUGUGGGGGAAUUGAAUUAAAGCAUAAAAUUGAUUGGCUGUUUAUAUUCCUUAUGAUGAAAAUUAUUAUCGGUUUAAAAAUACUUUUAUCUAUGAGAUACUACCAAAGAAAGUCACUUAACCACAAUGGGAGAAGGAAGAAAGAAAUAAUUUGGAAAACGACAAAAAAGUACCAAUCAAAAUGUCAAUAGUGAUUUCUUACCUAUCAAUAAUAAUAUUGAUAGGUAUUAUCUAGGAUCCCCCUAAAAAGAACAGAGAGUGGCUCAGUGGAUAUUUUAAAAAAUCGGCUGGGUGUGGUGGCUUACGCCUGUAAUCCCAGCACUUUGGGAGGCCUAGGUGGGCGGAUCACCUGAGGUCAGGAGACUAGCCUGACCAAUAUGAUGAAACCGCGUCUCUACUAAAAAUAAUACAAAAAAAUUAGCCGGGCUUGGUGGCAUGCGCAUGUAAUCUCAGCUACUCGGGAGGCUGAGACAGGAGAACAGCUUGAACCCGGGAGGCGGAGGUUGCAGUGAGCCAAGAUCACGCCAUUGCACUUCAGCCUGGGCAACGAGCGAAAUUCUGUCUCAAAAUAAUAACAAUAGUCAGUCCCAACUAUAUGCUGCAUGUAAAAAAUUAACUUACAUAUACACAUUGACUAAAAGUGAAGGGAUGCAAAAAGUUUUCAAAUGGAAACCAAUAAAUAGCAGCUGUAUUUGUAUCAGAUAACAGAAAAUUUUCACUUAAUAUUUAUUAGGUGAAAAGGUGUGAAUAGAGACAAAAAAGUAUUAUGUAGUAAAUACUUAUGAAGGGUCAAUUCAGGAAGAGGGUAUAAAAAUCGUAAAUAUGUAUGCAUCCUGCAGCAGAACACCAAAAUAUAUAAAGCAAACUGUAAGCGACCUAAAGCGAGAGAAACUGCAAUACAGUAAUAGUAGGGGACUUUAGUAACCCUUCCUCAACUCUUGUCACCUGAGUACACAGAGGCUUAUUCCAACUGGGGGAACGAAAUAGAAGACAGUGGGAUAAUUUGCCUAGUAACCCAGGCAGUUCUACCCUGGUAUUCCCCAAGUCCACCAGUGCUGUGUAUGUGCCAGGCUUUAAGCCUGGCUGUGUUCCUGGUCCUAGGGCGCCCUCUAGUGAUGAAAUGGUUGCAGUGACCACAUUCUUAGAUAAAACAACACAAUCACAUUUAAUUUUUGG
rnacentral:lncRNA from 1 species